rnacentral:lncRNA from 1 species
UAACCAGUACAGUUAAUGUCUAUCCCUAAGCUCUCUUGUAGUAGAACCAAAACCAUUUCCUGACUGAGAGUAAAAACCAAUGGGGUUCUUCUUGGUUGAUCUAGACAAGAUAUCAGUUGCCCUAUUUGCUUACAACUUAAUCUCCCAACUUUGGACCAACAGCUCGCAAAUAUCCUAUACAAGCUACCAGGUACCUUGUUUUGCUCUUUUCAUAUGCAUUUCAUGUUAGUCUUGAAGUAACGCCUUUCCUUUCAAUCUAGUUACAUCUUAUACAAGCUCGUGCUGCUAGUUUCCCACUUCUCUUCCAAUGUGGCAUAGGAUAGGAGUAAUACUUCAUUUCAUAUCUCCUUAGAAAAGGACACCCAAAGAAAAUGUGGCUUUUGGUUUCUUGUUCCACAUGACAAAUUUCAUUAAUGUGUGCCUUUGGUAUGUAGUCUGUCACGAAUGACCAUCCAAAUUAUGAAAUGAAUGCUUUCAAAUAUGAACUGAGAACCACAAAACCAAUUUUGUCCCAUUCCACAUGUUCUUAACAUACUCAUAUUUUCUCCUCAAAAUUUAGCCACUAUAUAUUUGUCACUAGGGAACCUCCAAACAACACAAUUCUAAAACACAAUUUUUUUUUGCAACAUCAUGCAUUUGUAACAAGUUCCUCCAAAUCCAACUAUAAUUCCAAGUAAUUAACACCAUGUUUGGUUGACAUGAAUAACCAAACGAUUCCUGGCUGAUUUGGUGAUAAACAGUUAUUCAUUAGUUUGAUUCACUGAAUCCUUCAUUCUACGAAAUCUCAUUCAUUACCCAUUCCACCUUCUCCCGUAAUGGCCAUUCCCCACCAAACCCAAAGAAUAGGACAAACGAUUCCUGGCUGAUUCGGUGAUAAACAAUUAUUCAUUAGUUUGAUUCACUAGGGGUGAGCAUUUGAUCGAAUCGAAUCGAAUCGAAUCGAAAAUUUUCAAGUUAAUCGAGUUUUCAAAUCUCAUUUUAUCAUCCUAACUUUAUUUGAAGUUUUCUCGAAUCGAGUCGAGUGAGAUGGAAUUCGAAUCGAAUCGAAUCGAAUCGAAUAUAUUUGUUCGAAUUAAAAUUUAAAAAAUAAUUUAGGUCCUUGUAACCACUGUCACCCAUCGUAAUAAAAUUUGUCCACCUUAAUCAAAUUUUUUAUUAACUUUCAUCACCUCAUAAUUUAUUUAUUAAUUUUUUAUAUACUAGUUAGCUUAUUUGUUUGCUUAGUUGUUUCAAUUAUCAUCAGAUUCUUGUCACUAUGUAUUUUGGAAUUAAAAAAUAUAUUAAAUAUAAAAAAAUGAUUUUUUAAUAAAAGUUAUUUUAAAAAUAAAAUGUGAAAUUGUUACCAAUAUAAAAUUUUAACACGAAUAUUUUAUGGCAUAAUUAAGAAUUCAAUUUUAAUAUAAAUAUUCAAUAUGACUAAACAAUUCAAUAAUAUAAAUAAUAUAAAAUAUGAAAUUUAAUUUAAUAAUAUAAAUAGUAUAUAUAAAUAAAAUUAGUACUAUUUAUGUUUAGUGAUUUUUUUGGAUAAUUUUGAUUUUUUAUUUGAGAGUAAAGGGUGAGAAGUAAAAGUUUAGGGGGAAAAUAAAAAGUUUUGGGAAUAAAAGUUUGAGGGAAAGUAAAUAGGGGGAGUAAAAUUUUGGAGGGAAAAUAUUAAAAAAAAUUGGAAGGGGGAGGGUUUGGGGUAGAUGGGAGGUGGGAUGGGAAGAGAAUAAAAGUUUUAGGGGAAAAGUGGGAGGGAGUAAAAAUUUUGGGGGAGAAUAAAAGGUUUUGAGGGUUUUUGAGAGUAAAAUUUUGAGAAAAAGUAAAUGAAGAGUAAAAUUUUGGUGGGAAACGGAUUUUGGGUAGAUUGGGGGGUUGGGAGGGGAGGAGAGUAAAAGUUUUUGGGGAAAGUGGGAAAGAGUAAAGUUUGAGGGAAAAGUAAAAAAGUUUGGGAGUUUAGGGUAAAAAUGUAAAAUAUUAUAGUUUGAUACUCGAAUUAUUCGAAUUAUUCGAGUUAUUCGAAUUCGAAAACUCAACUCGAUUUGAACUCGAAAUUCGAAAAAAAUUCGAAUUGAUUCGAAUAACUCGAUUAACUCGAAUAACUCGAUUCGUUUAACUCGAAAUUCGAAUUUUUUUCAAUUUUUUCGAGUCGAAUCGAGUUUUGCUCACCCCUAUGAUUCACUGAAUCCUUCAUUCGACGAAAUCUCAUUCAUCACCCAUUCCACCUUCUCCCGUAAUGCCCAUCCCCCACCAAACCCAAAGAAUAGGACUACACAACCACCACCGAAUAAAGAAAAAACAUAACCUCCCAUUCUUACCCUUUACCACUCUCCUUCAUCAAACACCUCAAGCCACCACACCCCCAGCCCUAUCUCCUCAUUCCCGUUCGGUUAUUCUCAUCCUACGACGAUCUUCGAAAUUGUCAAAAGCUUCCCCAAAGCUGAGAAUUUCAUCUCUUUGCUUCUUUGCUUGUAUUCACUAGUAGGGAGCUGUGAAAAAAAAAUGAGUUUUCGAAAAAAAAAUUUGGUCAAUUGGUUGAUCCGAUUGUUUUAGGGCAAUUUAGGUUAGAAAUGUAAGCUUUUUGUUUUCAAAUUGCAUUUGGUUUUUAUGGGCAUUUCUGUUUAUUGCAAGAGAUUUUAGGUUGCUUGUCUCAAUAGCAAGGGAUUUCAAUUUUAGGUUGGUAUUUGUUGUUUGUGGUAAAUGGGUAGUUGGGAUUUUAGAUUUUAAGCUCUGAAUCAGUUACAAAUUCUUUUAGCAAAAAAAAAAGUGAGACAUGGGAGAUGAGGAAAUCGUUCAAGGAUUCUCUCAAGAAUCUUGAAGCUGAUAUUCAUUUCGCCUAUACCUUAUAAUUUCUUAUUUCUUUUUCUUUUCCUAGGCUUUCUGUAGAUGAGCAUGAUUCAUCAUGAUUUUUUUCUGUAGAUAGCAAGGGAUUUCAAUUUCAGGUUGGGAUUUUUUGGGAUUGUAUCUACAAAGACUACAAUUUUUUUCUAUUCGAUAUUUGCUCUAUCAGUGCAUCAGUGAUUUCCUUUUGGAUUCUUCUUUUGAUUUGAGCCUUCCUAGUUUAAUUUUUUUUAUUUUGGCUUUUUUGUUUGUUUUAGGUUUGAAGUUAAAUUUUAUUUUGUAGCGAAGUUCAUUACUCUGCUGCUUGAAUUUGCUUCUUUUCAUAUUUGUUAGAAUGUAAAAUGUUCGAUCAUUUGCCUCAAUGAAAAUUGAACCUUGUUUGCAUAUUUGGGUUUUCAUCUUCGAUGUCGUUGUUUCUUCCUUUGAUGUUGUUGGUCUAGUAAAACCUUCCAUGAUAUGGAAUAAUAUUAUUGAAAAAGUGUUUACUCUGCUUACAGAGCUUAUUGAGAUGCUUACAUGGAAUUCUUGCUUCUCUUUACUUCAUCAUUUGAACUGCAUGGUGAAGAUAAACUAUAAGAGACAAAGUUAGAAGUUGGGUUUCAUUUAAUAUUAUAUUAACUUGAGAAUUUAGGCCGAAGCCCUUGUGUUUUAUGAUAUGACAAUUACUUUAUUUGCUAUAUACAUUUGCAACAUAUCCUCAAGAAUUCAGAUACAUCUCCUCUGCAUCAACUCAAUUGAAACACUGUUUCUUAUCUUUUUCUUUGUUAUGAAAACACCCAUUUCGUGAGUGAAUGAGGGGUAGAAGAAUCAAAUAAUGGGAACUUAUUUAGGUUCAAGUAUGUAAAUAUACAUAUUUCGAGUUGACCUUGAGAUGUUUAAAUGAAGGUUUAGGCCAUUCAUUUUGUUAUGUUCAACCUUUCUAUAGUCGAUUCUCCUACCAUUACACCAUCGAAUUAUUAGCAUCUAGGGUAAAAUUGUGUUAGUUCAAUCUUCAUAUUUAAGUUGCACAGAUGUAUGAUGUCUAAGAAGCACCAUGUCUUUUGAGCCCUAAUUGCUUUAAGAUUAUCAAUGUCUGAAUUCCUAAGCACCAUUUACUUAUAUUUUGUUGUACCAGAUAUUAUUUUUUUCACGUGGGUCAGCUUUGUUUGCGAACGAAUGCUACUCUUCACUUCUUUUGGUUUCAUGUAAUUUUAGGCUUCGUCAUAGAGGACAAUGAACC